GUAGGUUAUUGCCAGGGUUUUUAUUUUUAUACUUUAAACUUUGAUUUUAUUUUUAUGUUUUUUAAAUAUUGGUGUUUUUGAAUGUGUUGUUUAAAUAACAUAAAAAAUAAAAUAUAUAUUGACAUGUAUUAAACAAAGAUAUAUAUUAUUUUAUGUUGUAUAAAUAAAUUGGCAAAAUAGAGAUGGAAGAUAAAAAUAUGGUCAAAGUAAUAAGAGUCUAUGGUGAAUGCCUAGGA
rnacentral:misc_RNA from 1 species